rnacentral:lncRNA from 1 species
UCUUUCACCAGAUCUAGCCAUCACUUGAAGUAAAUAUGAUGCCUAUGAUGACACGAUAACCCAUCAAGUAAUUCUAAAGAAGCGACACCAUGAAAUCUGGAAGUCCACAGCAUCUCAAAAUGAAAAGUGGUGCACUGAUAUAUGAAAAUUAACACAAAAGGGGCGUACAUGGGAUAAUUCUUGAUCCUAUCUGAAGUCUAACACAAGGUAGCUGAGCCAUAAUAUAAGAAGCAUUAAAAUUGCUCAAAUAAUGAGAAAG